GUUCUCCAGUGAUGCAUCAACACUACUGCAUCCAAAUGCUUCAAUCAGGAAGAAGGGAUCAAGGUGGUUAAAGUGAGGCUCAUCGUCGAAGUUAAAAGUCGCGUUAUUUGCAGGCCAUUCUUGUUCAAAUGGGUAUUCCAGUAGUUCUUAACCUCAUUAUCAGUUCGACCAGGAAGCCGACCAGCAAUCAGUGACCAUCUGAUCGAAGAAGUUUAACCAUCAAAAUAUCCAAACAUUCAGUCAGUUUACUCUUUUUACUAUUAAGUAUUGAUUAAGCUUCGGAGAUUAAUUCGAUACAAACCGACCUGUUGCCUAAAAGUUUAUGCAUACGGAUAAUUAGGUCCUCUUCCUCUUUGGACAUGCCCCCGCGCUUUAUAUUGGGACGGAGGUUGGUGACAAUACACUUACAGGUUGUAAUGAUAACUCAUAUUAUUAGAUUUCUAUAUAUAUGACAGCAAAAUGGGCACCCAGCACUGUCACAUAUUACUCGCAGGAUGUUGCAUUGUUGGGUCAUGGAUGCAUCAUCAUUACGUUAUUUGAGCUGGUGGAUUGACGUGAGGGCCCUGGUUUGCUAAAAGCAUAUCUGCCUGCUUCUCAAUCAAGACAGGAAGGUACUACCUACUAUCUGGAGGAAGCUUAAGUAUUUAACAAGCUUUCGUGAGGAGCCACUCAAAGAAAAACAAUGCAGCUUUUUCUAGAGAAGCAACCAGCCAAUUGGGUCAUCUUUUUGAGGCGCUCGUAAAGAUUCCAUAUCCAUUCAGCUACUGUUCUUCCCUCAUCACUAUGAUUUUUUCCCUUUUGCAUCUGCCUGCCUGCUUCUCCAUCAGCGAGGAUCAAAAGUCUUAAUCAACUUCCUAACUCCGACAAUAAAGGUAAUUAUGAUGUCAAUGCUACAAUCUUUGCAUCCGAAUUACGGGACACGUUUUAGUUCUUUAUGUUUAUAGGAGUUUACGAUGAAAUUUAUCAUUUCAUCUUGGAAAUACGUUCCUGAUUGUAUAGAUAUAACAUUAUUAACAUCAUUUACGAAUGACGUGAGAUCUAGUAGUAGCAGUUGAGGAUUGUUUAUAAAAAAAAAAAUUAAAGUAAAUAGAAAAAGCAUAUAAUAUAAAAAAUAUUUGAA